UUUUGAGAAACUUUCUGAAAUAAGAUGAAUGAGUAUCCAUAAAGCCAUUGAUUUCCUUUCAGUCUUUCUGUUUUUUCCUCCUCCCUCAAAUCUAGUCUUAUUCCCUCGAAUUAUGAUGAAGUUCUAACUCAUUCUCUUUUCUUCAGCUGUAUAUUAUUCUCUUCUUUAGGUUGUACCUAGCUCUACAAUAGGCCUGUCAUGGAUUUGCCUCUUAGAUGUUUGAUCCAUGGCCAUAAAACGAGCCUCCACUCUCUGACCUUUCACACUAAUUUAUAUCCACAACUCUAGCAAAGUACUCAUCAGCUGGUUAGAAGCUUUCUCCUAUGCCUUGGUUAGUGGUAGACAAGUGUCACCAGCAAUCAAAGAAAAUCUUUAGGAUGAACAUGUGGUAGAGCUUGUAUUUAGUUGGAAUACAAGCCAUCUCCUGUGCCUUGGUUACUGGUAGACGAGUGUCACAAGCAAACAAAGCAAAUCUUGAGAUGAAGUGGUGGUAGAGCUUGUAUUUAGUUGGGAUCUUACAUAUAUUCAAUAGUAUUCAAUUUUUUAGCUUUCCCCUUGCUGCUUCGAAAGCCAACAAUGAGCACCAACAAAGAUUUCUGGUCCUUCCAACUCAUUCACCAUAGUCUUAUCCCAGGAUUUCGAGUGAAAAUUCUAUGAUAGGGUUGCAACUUUUUCAAGAUGCUGUUUCUCUUUAACUGGAUCCCAAUUUUAUUUGAUGCUUCGGAUAUUUGAUAUAUUCAUCUGAAUCAGGAAGCCAAAUUACACUAUGUUUUUGGGAGGCUUCAACUAACCAAGAGCCUCACGAGGGCACAGUUGUUAACUUGAAAUUAAUAAAGUUGAAUUGAUUUUAGAAAAACAAAAUUGAUAUUCAUAAAACAUCUUUAAUGAAUAACAAAGUAAUUUAUUGAACAUGUAAAAAAUUGAGGAAGGUUCGUAGUGGUAUUAAAGAAGCUACAAUAAAAUAGAAUUCGGUUAAUAUCCCUCUUUUUUAUGAAAAAAAGAAACUAAAUUAGAAAUAAUAUUUGAAAAUUCAGAAAGAUUUAAUUACAUUGUGUGCUAGUGGUUCUAAAAUUACUCAAUAGCUUCCAUGGAAACCCAUAAUGUGAAGUAAAAACUUGGAAAUUGGAAGGGUUCAAAAUUAUGGCGCCGUUGUACUGUUACUAGCAUUUGUUGCACUUUAUUAAGUUCAAAGAUUUAACUAUAUUCAAUAUAAAUGUUUUUAGUGAUGAAUCUCUUGCAAACUUGGUUUUGUAUCUCUACAUAACUGCCUCAAAAGCUAACAUGAUAAUAAAUCAUUGGGAAAAAGAAGUCUGCUUGGUCACGUAGCCCCUGCGUCUUGACACAUAAGUGCCUGAAAUUACCACCCUACCCCAUGUGAAAUAAAAAAAUCCAUCUGUGUAGAUGCCCCUAUGCACUCUCAUUGGCCCCCAUGCUUGGGCAGGGGCUACAUGACCAGGUAGCGAUCUCUUGCCCUAAACUAUUUUACUUAAUGCUGAGAGAACCUUUCUUCCCAAACCUGUCUUUAGAUUCAUGUCAUCAUUUCAACAUAUUGAGGAACUUUACUGCUGGUUCUCAUGUAAGAAUUAAGAAUUAUUUAUGUCCUCAUUGGCAGCCUGUGAACGUUUGAUCUUGCUGGACUUCGAUUCUGACGAAUUGAGAGAUUACAGCAUUUUACUUUAUCAUUGUGGAUUGUACAAGGAAUCUCUACAGUACCUACAAAAGUAUCAAUCCCAGAGGAAUUCCUCCAUACAAAAGCAAUCUUCCGAUGGUGUAAGCAACCUAGAGAAGUAUGCUGUAGAGAAAUUGAUGGUUCGUCUGAAACUCAUUUCCAUGGAGGAAGGUUGGAGCAGGCCUCCUUAUGUGAAAGGUAUCUUCAGUAACAACUCUGAACCAUGGUAGUGUAUAUCCCAAUUGCCUUCAAUCAGUUUUUUAGGGAACCCAGAGUACACAAAGUAGAUCAGUGAUGGAUUAUAGGUUUUACCUUUGAUUCUCAAUGUAUGUUCAAAGUGUAUAUGUAAGUUGUUCUUCUACUUUAGCAUUGCUUAUUUUAUUUUUAUAAAGCCUGAAUCAGAUUAAGCUUGUGUAUUGCAUUACUCUAUUUGUAAAUCAGAAUAAGCUGUGAAUUGCACUGCUCUUACGACA